UGAAAUGCGAAGAAGAGAAGUAGUAACCAUAGAAUGGAAUGCAGAAAGCUGUUGGUUGAUGCGAAGCAGUGGAAGUGAUAUGGCGAACUCGUCUCGGAGCAGCCGGUUGAACUUUAGUAGAUCAGGACGGAUUCCCACCGUUAGAGGGGAAAGGUAUUGACAAGUUGUUGAUGUACCUGUGAGCGCAUGAUUUUCAUGAAUAAGAGUGGUAACGCGGAUGAUCCGUCUCUAUA
rnacentral:ncRNA from 1 species